AGAGUAACCUAGGCAAUCGCUUGUGAUGAAAAUUAUGAGAGGAAAGUCCGGACUCCUAACGAAAAGAUGCCCUGGAAGAAGAAGUUCAAUCAGGGGGAGCGUGAGUUCACGGAAAGUGUCACAGAAAAUAACCACCUAUCAUGGAAACAUGAAAGGAAAGGGUGAAAAUGUGUGGUAAGAGCGCACAGGCAAUUUUAGUAAUAACGUUGCAGGAUAAACCCCAUCUGGAGCAAGACAAAGCAUGGAACUGGCCUUUCGUUGCCUAUAGUUUCAGGGUAUGUCGCACAGAUAAAUGGUUGCCACUGUAUCAAAAAUACAGAACAGAAUCCGGCUUAUUGUUUACUCUGCUC
rnacentral:RNase_P_RNA from 1 species